rnacentral:rRNA from 1 species
GCUUGACUGUAACCUGGAAUGGGGGUUCCGGCUUGCAUGCGCCAGGAUAGGUGGGAGGCGAAGAAGGUUCCCUUGCGGGGGAGCCAGAGCCAUCCCUUGAGAUACCACCCUUGUCAGGCGGGAGCUCCUAACCCUCACCCGUGCAGCCGGGGAGGGGACAGUUUCAGGCCGGCAGUUUGACUGGGGCGGGUCGCCUCCUAAAAAGGUAACGGAGGCACGCCAAAGGUUCCCUCAGGACUGGGUGGAAAUCAGCCAGAGAGUGUAAAGGCACUAAGGGAGCUUAACUGCGAGACUACACCUCG